rnacentral:rRNA from 1 species
CGUGACGGGGGGGGCAAGCGUUGUUCGGAAUUACUGGGCGUUAAAAGGGCUCGUUAGGGUACGGCCAACUAAGUCGGACGGUUGAAAUCCCUCGGCUUAACCGGGGAACUGCAUCCGAUAACUUGGAAGGCUUGAGUUUGGGAGAGGGAUGCGGAAUUCCAGGUGUAGCGGUGAAAUGACGUAGAUAUCUGGAGGAACACCGGUGGCGAAGGCGAGUCCCUGGACAACUUCUGACGCUGAGGCACGAAAGCUAGGGGAGCAAACAGGA